UACGAAGGGGGCUAGCGUUGCUCGGAAUUACUGGUCGUAAAGCGCACGUAGGCGGAUUGUUAAGUCGGGGGUGAAAUCCUGGAGCUCAACUCCAGAACUGCCUUCGAUACUGGCGAUCUCGAGUUCGGGAGAGGUGAGUGGAACUGCGAGUGUAGAGGUGAAAUUCGUAGAUAUUCGCAAGAACACCAGUGGCGAAGGCGGCUCACUGGCCCGAUACUGACGCUGAGGUGCGAAAGCGUGGGGAGCAAACAGG
rnacentral:rRNA from 1 species